rnacentral:rRNA from 1 species
UCUGUCAAGUCGGAUGUGAAAUCCCCGGGCUCAACCUGGGAACUGCAUUCGAAACUGGCAGGCUAGAGUCUUGUAGAGGGGGGUAGAAUUCCAGGUGUAGCGGUGAAAUGCGUAGAGAUCUGGAGGAAUACCGGUGGCGAAGGCGGCCCCCUGGACAAAGACUGACGCUCAGGUGCGAAAGCGUGGGGAGCAAACAGGAUUAGAUACCCUGGUAGUCCACGCCGUAAACGAUGUCGACUUGGAGGUUGUGCCCUUGAGGCGUGGCUUCCGGAGCUAACGCGUUAAGUCGACCGCCUGGGGAGUACGGCCGCAAGGUUAAAACUCAAAUGAAUUGACGGGGGCCCGCACAAGCGGUGGAGCAUGUUGGUUUAAUUUCGAUGCAACGCGAAAGAACCUUUACCUACUC